GGCAAAUAAAAGGUCAAACCCUGCUGACCCUCCCAGUAGAGAUAACAAGGAAGAUGGCUGGGUCUGCUCAAGCAAGAAGCUGCAUGUGCUGUGGGAGAAUAUCUUCAGGACCAAGUUGGGAACAAACACCAGAAUACUGACACUUCUUUCAACCCCUGAGAGACAACUACUGAUAAGUUAUCGUGACAUACCCAAAA